CCAAUAGCGUAUAUUAAAGUUGUUGCAGUUAAAAAGCUCGUAGUUGAAUUUCGGGAUCGACGGGUCGGUCGCGCCUCUGGUGUGUACUGGCCCUGUCGGUUUCUCCCUUCUGACGAACUGCGAUGUCAUUAAUUUGGUGUCGUAGGGAAUCAGGACUGUUACUUUGAGAAAAUUAGAGUGUUUAAAGCAGGCAUUCGCUUGAAUACAUUAGCAUGGAAUAAUGAAAUAGGACGUUUGAUCUUAUUUUGUUGGUUUCUAAGAUCGACGUAAUGAUUAAUAGGGAUAGUUGGGGGCAUUAGUAUUCAAUUGUCAGAGGUGAAAUUCUUGGAUUUAUUGAAGACUAACUACUGCGAAAGCAUUUGCCAAGGAUGUUUUCAUUAAUCAAGAACGAAAGUUAGGGGAUCGAAGACGAUCAGAUACCGUCGUAGUCUUAACCAUAAACUAUGCCGACUAGGGAGCGGAUGAUGUUAAUUUUUUAAUGACUCAUUCGGCGCCUUACG
rnacentral:rRNA from 1 species